GACGAACGCUGGCGGCGUGCUUAACACAUGCAAGUCGAACGAUGAUGCCCAGCUUGCUGGGUGGAUUAGUGGCGAACGGGUGAGUAACACGUGAGUAACCUGCCCCUGACUCUGGGAUAAGCGUUGGAAACGACGUCUAAUACUGGAUAUGACUGCCGGCCGCAUGGUCUGGUGGUGGAAAGAUUUUUGGGUUGGGGAUGGACUCGCGGCCUAUCAGUGUGUUGGUGAGGUAAUGGCUCACCAAGGCGACGACGGGUAGCCGGCCUGAGAGGGUGACCGGCCACACUGGGACUGGGAGACGGCCCAGACUCCUACGGGAGGCAGCAGUGGGGAAUAUUGCACAAUGGGCGAAAGCCUGAUGCAGCAACGCCGCGUGAGGGAUGACGGCCUUCGGGUUGUAAACCUCUUUUAGUAGGGAAGAAGCGAAAGUGACGGUACCUGCAGAAAAAGCACCGGCUAACUACGUGCCAGCCGCCGCGGUAA
rnacentral:rRNA from 1 species